GAAACGGGUGGGCCCUCGAAUUCCUGUGCGGCGGGAGGAUUCAGUCGGAACGGGGUGCGGACUGGCGUGUAAUGCGGCAAUGCUUUCAGACAUUAAGUUCGUCUUGUAUCCUGCGGUUCGCCUUUCCGCUCUUCCACCGACGCAUUUCCUUCCGCCCGGAGGACGCCGCGGCCGGUCGGGCCCGAACAAAAGUCUUCCAGAGUCGGAGGCCACCAAGGGCGGGCACCUGGAGUGUCCGACAGGCCUCCGCACCCGGCGGACGCCCGACCGAGGCAAUAGAAUUAGGGGCCCGUGCACUUGGGGGCCCCGCCGUCCCCUUCGAAAAGAGAGAAGCAGGCGUGCCUUGAGCAAGCACGCGUCGGCGAGGGAGUCCCACCGCCCCGUGCGGUGUUCGCCCCGUCCGACGGUGCGGGUGUCCGAGAGUCGCCCGCGGGGGAUGAGCAGAUCGAAGGACGGCCCGCGGCGAGUAGGUCGGUCACCCACCCGACCCGUCUUGAAACACGGACCAAGGAGUCUGACAUGUGCGCGAGUCAAUGGGACUUGAACAGGCCCAAGGGCGGAAUGAAAGUGACGACGAAAGAUGUCGAGAUUCCGCGUCCGAAACGAGGCGCGGACGCAUCGACGGCCCGUCUCUUCCGACUCGUCGGAGGGGCGGAGUCCGAGCGCACACGUCGGUACCCGAAAGACGGCGAACUAUGCUUGGCCAGGACGAAUGCAGUGGAAACUCUGCUGGAAGUCCGAAGCGGUUCUGACGUGCAAAUCGAUUGUCAGAGCUGCGUAUAGG
rnacentral:rRNA from 1 species